rnacentral:lncRNA from 1 species
CAUGACAGCGGUGACCUUGGCAGUUUCUAGUUUAUCCUCAUAUUUUUUCUUCUCGACCGAAAGUCGAGCUUCAGAUUUAGCCCGGGCUUUGGAAAGCUCGGACUCCAGUCACUUUAGCUCCUUCUUCAGUGACCUGGCCUCUUCCUCGGCCUUGAGCUUCUCAAGUUGGACGUUAUCCAUCCUUUUGCUGGCCUAGCUGGCCUUCUCCUUGACUUUUCUUGAGAUACGUCG